UUCUUGUGAUACAAGCCUCUUAGGUGAGCUGCCUGCUCUCUCAUGGCAUUGAGAAAUAGAAUGCCACAGCUCAAUGAAACGCAAGGUAAGGCCAUAAUGAGCACACAAACACAUAAGCAAGCAACGAAAUGGCUUUAGACUGCAGAGAAAUGUUGCCCAUUUAACCAUAUUAAUGUUUUUACUCUCUCACACACACAAAACAUUUGGUGCCUGAGUAGUAUUUCUAUUUGCCUGAGAGGGGAAAAGAAUGAAAAGUCAAAGGACAGGUUACUAGGAGGGGAUGCAUAAAAUAUUUCUGAUUCAACUGUGAUGAAGUCAGCUGAAGACAAAAUGCCUACAGGUUUUCACAAUUGCCCAGGACCUUAUGACUGUGGUACACAGAAACAGAAUAUAGCCUUUCCAUAUACAAACUUACAAAAAUUACAUGCCUGAAAAUAACUUUUAGCUGUUAUAAAAACCAGAACAAGUCACAAAGAAAUGGAUGAGAAUAUCUAAUCUUGUAAUAGUCCCUUGAAGUCCACGGAGGAUGCAGUAAUUUGUAGACUCUUGCUUCCUACUUAUCAAAAUCAACUGUCACACCUUACACUGACACCAUGGGUUGGGAAUACAUGAUGCAAUGUAACAAUGGCUCAUGAUGACGAGCAUGCAGAAUUAACCUGUUCCCUGUAUUACAGCUGACCCACCCAGCUAUGACUCACUGGUAAAGGAUGGAACUUUUUGUCCUGAGGCAAAAGGGCACAGCGGCUGUGUCUCCCAGACACAGUGCCAAUGCUUUCAUGACAUCUUCAAGUGCACUCAAGAUAAGACUGAUCCAAGAGCAGGUUUUUUGUACCACAGGGAUUUUUGGCACGACAGACAAGUAGAAGGCUUGCAGACAAAUAAGACAGAUCAAAACCCCUGUGGCUUUCACUUUCAUACUCUGGGCUGAGGUCUCAAACGUAAAUGAAACUGGGGCAAAUUACCCAAUCAUUUGUUUGUUCACUUUUGUCGGUAUCUGAAACAGAUCAUGCUCCUGAACAAGGUUGUCCUGGUUUAGGGCAAAGUUGGGAGGAAGUUUGGGGUGAAAUUAUGAUGGAUACUGCAGCUGUUCCCACUGUUUCAUCCUUGAUGUCCAGAUUGGUAUCACUAACCUUAACACAAACAACCAACUGCUUAUACUUGUGUUCCUGGCAAGACUCUGCUCUUACAAAUGUACACAAGGCCACAACAGACACUGGUGGUUGCCAAGACCUGUUGAUUCCAGGAGUAGUCACUCUCUGGGUCAACAUGAAAACUGAACUGAAGAGAACUCCUGAGUAAAACAGAAGUCACUACCUGAAAAGACCAUGACGCUAGGAGCUCUAGGAGAGAUUCCUUGCCAUCCUCCUUGGCCUGUGGCUCCACAAUUAUCAAAAUAUGGUGGCCAGAUGGUUUUGUUUUCCAGGAGCAGGGCCCCAAGCUACAGCCAGGAAACUACAGGCUGAUUGGCAUCACCUCAGUCCCUGGGAAGGUGAUGGAUCAACUAUCCUGGAAAAAAUUUCUAAACAAAC